GCAAGUCGAGCGCGAAAGCACUUCGGUGUGAGUAGAGCGGCGGACGGGUGAGUAACGCGUAGGAAUCUACCUAGUAGUGGGGGACAACUCGGGGAAACUCGAGCUAAUACCGCAUAAGCCCUACGGGGGAAAGCGGGGGACCUUCGGGCCUCGUGCUAUUAGAUGAGCCUGCGUUGGAUUAGCUAGUUGGUGGGGUAAAGGCGCACCAAGGCGACGAUCUCUAGCUGUUCUGAGAGGAAGAUC
rnacentral:rRNA from 1 species